GAAGAGCAUUGAAACAGCAAGACUUGAGUACAGGAGAGGAAAGCGGAAUUCCUGGUGUAGAGGUGAAAUUCGUAGAUAUCAGGAGGAACACCCAUGGCGAAGGCAGCUUUCUGGACUGAUACUGACGCUGAGGCGCGAAGGUGUGGGUAGCGAACAGGAUUAGAUACCCUGGUAGUCCACACAGUAAACGAUGUUCACUAGGUGUAGCGGGUAUUAAAACCUGCUGUGCCGGAGUUAACGCAUUAAGUGAACCGCCUGGGGAGUACGGUCGCAAGAUUAAAACUCAAAGGAAUUGACGGGGGCCCGCACAAGCGGUGGAGCAUGUGGUUUAAUUCGACGCAACGCGAAGAACCUUACCUGGAUUUGACAUCCUGUGAAUCCCCGAGAGAUCG
rnacentral:rRNA from 1 species